rnacentral:rRNA from 1 species
UACGUAGGGGGCAAGCGUUGUCCGGAAUUAUUGGGCGUAAAGAGCGCGUAGGCGGUCCGAUAAGUCGGCUGUGAAAGUCAGGGGCUCAACCCUUGAAAGCCGGCCGAUACUGUCGGACUAGAGUCCGGAAGAGGAGAGUGGAAUUCCUGGUGUAGCGGUGAAAUGCGCAGAUAUCAGGAGGAACACCGGUGGCGAAGGCGGGUCUCUGGGCAGUAACUGACGCUGAGGAGCGAAAGCGUGGGGAGCGAACAGG